rnacentral:misc_RNA from 1 species
GAAAUGCGAUAAGUAGUGUGAAUUGCAGAAUUCAGUGAAUCAUCGAAUCUUUGAACGCAAAUUGCGCCCUUUGGUAUUCCAAAGGGCAUGCCUGUUCGAGCGUCAUUUGUACCCUCAAGCUUUGCUUGGUGUUGGGCGUCUUGUCUCUAGCUUUGCUGGAGACUCGCCUUAAAGUAAUUGGCAGCCGGCCUACUGGUUUCGGAGCGCAGCACAAGUCGCACUCUCUAUCAGCAAAGGUCUAGCAUCCAUUAAGCCUUUUUUCAACUUUUGACCUCGGAUCAGGUAGGGAUACCCGCUGAACUUAAGC